rnacentral:rRNA from 1 species
GGCUCAGGACGAACGCUGGCGGCGUGCCUAAUACAUGCAAGUCGAGCGGACAGAAGGGAGCUUGCUCCCGGAUGUUAGCGGCGGACGGGUGAGUAACACGUGGGUAACCUGCCUGUAAGACUGGGAUAACUCCGGGAAACCGGAGCUAAUACCGGAUAGUUCCUUGAACCGCAUGGUUCAAGGAUGAAAGACGGUUUCGGCUGUCACUUACAGAUGGACCCGCGGCGCAUUAGCUAGUUGGUGGGGUAAUGGCUCACCAAGGCGACGAUGCGUAGCCGACCUGAGAGGGUGAUCGGCCACACUGGGACUGAGACACGGCCCAGACUCCUACGGGAGGCAGCAGUAGGGAAUCUUCCGCAAUGGACGAAAGUCUGACGGAGCAACGCCGCGUGAGUGAUGAAGGUUUUCGGAUCGUAAAGCUCUGUUGUUAGGGAAGAACAAGUGCGAGAGUAACUGCUCGCACCUUGACGGUACCUAACCAGAAAGCCACGGCUAACUACGUGCCAGCAGCCGCGGUAAUACGUAGGUGGCAAGCGUUGUCCGGAAUUAUUGGGCGUAAAGGGCUCGCAGGCGGUUUCUUAAGUCUGAUGUGAAAGCCCCCGGCUCAACCGGGGAGGGUCAUUGGAAACUGGGAAACUUGAGUGCAGAAGAGGAGAGUGGAAUUCCACGUGUAGCGGUGAAAUGCGUAGAGAUGUGGAGGAACACCAGUGGCGAAGGCGACUCUCUGGUCUGUAGCUGACGCUGAGGAGCGAAAGCGUGGGGAGCGAACAGGAUUAGAUACCCUGGUAGUCCACGCCGUAAACGAUGAGUGCUAAGUGUUAGGGGGUUUCCGCCCCUUAGUGCUGCAGCUAACGCAUUAAGCACUCCGCCUGGGGAGUACGGUCGCAAGACUGAAACUCAAAGGAAUUGACGGGGGCCCGCACAAGCGGUGGAGCAUGUGGUUUAAUUCGAAGCAACGCGAAGAACCUUACCAGGUCUUGACAUCCUCUGACAACCCUAGAGAUAGGGCUUUCCCUUCGGGGACAGAGUGACAGGUGGUGCAUGGUUGUCGUCAGCUCGUGUCGUGAGAUGUUGGGUUAAGUCCCGCAACGAGCGCAACCCUUGAUCUUAGUUGCCAGCAUUCAGUUGGGCACUCUAAGGUGACUGCCGGUGACAAACCGGAGGAAGGUGGGGAUGACGUCAAAUCAUCAUGCCCCUUAUGACCUGGGCUACACACGUGCUACAAUGGACAGAACAAAGGGCUGCAAGACCGCAAGGUUUAGCCAAUCCCAUAAAUCUGUUCUCAGUUCGGAUCGCAGUCUGCAACUCGACUGCGUGAAGCUGGAAUCGCUAGUAAUCGCGGAUCAGCAUGCCGCGGUGAAUACGUUCCCGGGCCUUGUACACACCGCCCGUCACACCACGAGAGUUUGCAACACCCGAAGUCGGUGAGGUAACCUUUAUGGAGCCAGCCGCCGAAGGUGGGGCAGAUGAUUGGGGUGAAGUC